rnacentral:lncRNA from 1 species
GAAGAACUCCUGAGCUAGGCUAGAGCAGCAGGUGCCUCUUCAGCCACCCCAUCAUCUCCCACUGCUCCCUCCAUUGCUGGGACGAUCCCUGCGUCCAUCAUCUCAAUCCAGCUCUCCAGGUGAGUCGAUAAAUUGAACAAUGCCAUCCGUCAACAUGUUAGCUAAUGCCUCCAUAGCACUUGGUUCAUCCAUGAUAUUUUCUUGUAUUCAUGCACUGCCGACAGGCUGAACAAUGUAGUUGCUGCAUUCUCUCUAACCUCCGUAGUCUGCCCUCGUCUCAAACCAUAAAUGAUCAACCAUAAACACUCUCCUUCAUUGUACGUACCUGUGCAUGGUGAUUCUCAGACUCAUCGACACCCUUCGCGAGCUUGGCCACUGCCACUAGGACAGCUACGGCAUGAGCUAGAAGGUGUUGGUGUGAAGCAACACCAUGAGGAUGACUAAGGCAAGCACAAUCAAGAUCGUGCCGUCACCGACCAUGUGGCUGAGGAUGAUGAGUGGAGGUAGUUGAGGAAGAGCCAAAGAGCCAACAUAACCAUGAAGAUGAUGAGGGAGACAAGAUGUUAGAGGAGGCUGAAGAAGACGAUGAGGAGGACAAUGAUGGCAUAGUUCAUGGAAAUAUAGCUUAGGUUGGUCCGCAUUUGAAGGUAGGCCUCCCUAAGGCUCGAUGGGAGGUUGAAG